UCAAGUUAUUAAGGGUGCAGGGCGGAUGCCUUGGCACUAGGAGCCGAUGAAGGACGUGAUAAGCUGCGAUAAGCUUCGGGGAGUUGCACGUAAACUUUGAUCCGAAGAUUUCCGAAUGAGGAAACUCACUUAGAGUAAUGUCUAAGUAUCAUUAAGUGAAUACAUAGCUUAAUGAGGGGAACUCAGGGAACUGAAACAUCUAAGUACCUGAAGGAAGAGAAAGAAAUUCGAUUCCGUAAGUAGCGGCGAGCGAACGCGGAUUAGCCCAAACCAAUAAAGUUUUCUUUAUUGGGGUUGCGGACAUAUCAUAACGAAGAGGUAUCGUAAUUGAAGAGGUUUGGAAAGACCCACCACAGAAGGUAAUAGUCCUGUAUGUUAAACGAGAAGACUUCAGAUAUGAUCCAGAGUACCACGGGACACGUGAAACCCUGUGGGAAGCAGGAGGGACCACCCUCCAAGGCUAAAUACUACCUAGUGACCGAUAGCGUAUAGUACCGUGAGGGAAAGGUGAAAAGAACCCCGGGAGGGGAGUGAAAUAGAACCUGAAACCCUGCACUUACAAGCUGUGGAAGCACAUUUCUUGUGUGACCGCGUACUUUUUGUAGAACGGGCCAACGAGUUACGUUAAGUAGCAAGGUUAAGCACUUAAGGUGUGGAGCCGUAGCGAAAGCGAGUUUUAACUGAGCGUUCAGUUACUUGACGUAGACCCGAAACCGGGCGACCUACCCAUGAGCAGGAUGAAGCGAAAGUAAAAUUUCGUGGAGGUCCGAACCCACGAGCGUUGAAAAGCUCGGGGAUGACUUGUGGGUAGCGGUGAAAUUCCAAUCGAGCCCGGAGAUAGCUGGUUCUCCCCGAAAUAGCUUUAGGGCUAGCCUCAAGGUGAGAGAUACGGAGGUAGAGCACUGAAUGUCCUAGGGGGUAUUGCACCUACCGAAGACUAUCAAACUCCGAAUGCCGUCAUCUUAUACUUGGGAGUCAGACUGUGGGUGAUAAGAUUCAUAGUCGAAAGGGCAACAGCCCAGAUCGUCAGCUAAGGUCCCUAAAUGUAAGUUAAGUGGUAAAGGAUGUGGGAUUGCACAGACAACCAGGAUGUUGGCUUAGAAGCAGCCACUCAUUCAAAGAGUGCGUAAUAGCUCACUGGUCGAGUGAUCCUGCGCCGAAGAUUUCCGGGGCUAAAACUUACUACCGAAGCUACGGCAUCAGUAAUGAUGGGUAGGGGAGCUUCCCAUACGGGUUGAAGCAUGACCGUAAGGACAUGUGGACAGUAUGGGAGUGAGAAUGUUGGCAUGAGUAGCGAGAUGUGGGUGAGAAUCCCACAGGCCGUAAACCCAAGGUUUCCAGGGGAAGGUUCGUCCGCCCUGGGUUAGUCGGGACCUAAGCUGAGGCCGAAAGGCGUAGGUGAUGGACAACAGGUUGAUAUUCCUGUACUACCGAUAACCGUUUGAGAGAAGGGAUGACACAGUAGGAUAAGCUAAGCACACUGUUGGUUAUGUGUGCCCAAGCAUUGAGGCAGUCAAAGUAGGCAAAUCCGCUUUGAUAAUGCUGGGAUGUGAUGGGGAGCGAAAUUUAGUAGCGAAGUAGCUGAUUUCACACUGUCAAGAAAAGUCUCUAUCGAGGUUAAAGGUACCCGUACCGCAAACCGACACAGGUGGGUGAGGAGAGUAUCCUAAGGCCAGCGAGAGAACUGUUGUUAAGGAACUCGGCAAAAUGACCCCGUAACUUAGGGAUAAGGGGUGCCACCAUCAGGUGGCCGCAGAGAAUAGGCCCAAGCGACUGUUUACCAAAAACAUAGGUUUCUGCUAAGUCGCAAGACGAUGUAUAGGAGCUGACGCCUGCCCGGUGCUGGAAGGUUAAGGGGAUCUGUUAGAGCAAUCGAAGCAGUGAACUUAAGCCCCAGUAAACGGCGGCCGUAACUAUAACGGUCCUAAGGUAGCGAAAUUCCUUGUCGGGUAAGUUCCGACCCGCACGAAAGGCGUAACGAUUUGGGCACUGUCUCAACAACAGACUCGGUGAAAUUGUAAUUCCGGUGAAGAUGCCGGAUACCUGCGACAGGACGGAAAGACCCCAUGGAGCUUUACUGUAGCUUGACAUUGGGUCUUGGUACUACAUGUACAGGAUAGGUGGGAGGCUUUGAAACCAGGACGCCAGUUUUGGCGGAGCCAUCCUUGGGAUACCACCCUUUUAGUACUGGGACUCUAACCAUAGGCCAUGAAUCUGGUCUUGGGACACUGUCAGGUGGGCAGUUUGACUGGGGCGGUCGCCUCCCAAAAGGUAACGGAGGCGCUCAAAGGUUCUCUCAGUACGGUCGGAAAUCGUACGUAGAGUGUAAAGGCAAAAGAGAGCUUGAUUGCAAGACAUACAGGUCGAGCAAGGAUGAAAAUCGGACUUAGUGAUCCGGUGGUUCUGCGUGGAAGGGCCAUCGCUCAACGGAUAAAAGCUACCCUGGGGAUAACAGGCUUAUCUCCCCCAAGAGUCCACAUCGACGGGGAGGUUUGGCACCUCGAUGUCGGCUCAUCACAUCCUGGGGCUGUAGUAGGUCCCAAGGGUUGGGCUGUUCGCCCAUUAAAGUGGUACGCGAGCUGGGUUCAGAACGUCGUGAGACAGUUCGGUCCCUAUCCGUCGCAGGCGUAGGAAAUUUGAGAAGACCUGUCCUUAGUACGAGAGGACCGGGAUGGACGUACCUCUGGUGUACCAGUUGUUCUGCCAAGGGCAUGGCUGGGUAGCUAUGUACGGAAUGGAUAAGCGCUGAAAGCAUCUAAGCGCGAAGCCAACUUCAAGAUAAGAUUUCCCACCGCAAGGGUAAGACCCCAGAAAGACUAUCUGGUUGAUAGGUCGAAGGUGUAAGUGCAGCAAUGUAUUUAGCUUAUCGAUACUAAUAGGUCGAGGACUUGACCAA
rnacentral:rRNA from 1 species